rnacentral:misc_RNA from 1 species
GCAAAAUCUGCCAGAGAGAUACAAGCCAAAAAAAACAAGCUGCAACCUGCUAAAUCCCAGAAGUUCGAGCUUUCUGUAUUCCCUCCUGAUUCUGAUGUACAGACAGCUUCUUAGAAAGGUCUAAAAUAACCACAUGCUGCAGGUUCAACCAGCCUGGUUGGCGCGCAUGGUUUUUGCUUCAUUUGGAUCACUGCUUUCACAGUGAAACCUAUUGCAUUUCAUAAGUGGAACGACUGAUCCACGGUUUUG